GUACAUCGUUCGGUACAGAAUACAGAAUACAGAAGCGGGAAGCAGCUGCAGGUUGCCGGUUGCAUCAACAGACAAGACUACAAUACAACUGAUAGGGGCCAUGCAUAAGAUUAAGCCUGUUAAGAUAGGUAUUGUGGGGG